AAAUUUGUUCGGGUGUGUUUUAUGGCCCAGAAUAUGGUCUAUCCUGGUGACUGUUCCGUGUGAACUUAAGAAGAAGUAAUUUACUUUUAAUAGUCCAAUUGACAAUGUUUUAUUUUAAACCCAUUAAACUAAACAUCCUGUACUAUAAAGCAUAAGAAUGGCAUUGGACCUGGUAAUAUAUUUUUAAACAUGACGUUCAUUCACAUCAUAAAAACAGAACUGAAUCCUAAAAGCAAUAUCCAGGAAUGAAAAGUGUGACCCAAACACCACCUAUAACAGUUACUUAGUAAUCUAAAGUUGUGUACCACAAGCCAAGUUUUCCAGCUGUCUAUGUGUAUAUCUUUAAAAUUACCUUAAAAUUUUCUUUUUUGUCUUUUUGUCUUUUGAGGGCUGCACCCACGGCAUAUGGAGGUUCCCAGGCUGGAGGUCUAAUCGGAGCUGUAGCCACCAGCCUACACCACAGCUCACGGCAACACCAGAUCCUUAACCCACUGAGUGAGACCAGGGAUUGAACCUACAACCUCAUGGUUCCUAGUCGAAUUCGUUUCCGCUUGCCACUAUGGGGACUCCAAAUUUUUCUUUUGAAUAAAAUGCACACUUCAACAAAUUCACCAAGACCAGUCAUGCUAUGCUAUAGCUAUGAAGGAUUGCAGUUAGAACUAUUAAAAUAAAACUUUUAAGUGUACUCUUAAAGAUUACCAACUGGGGGAAAUCAGUUUUACUUUUUAAAACUCCUGAGGUUUGGAAGCAAAAGCAUAUACUGGCAUGGUUCAAGUUGGAAGUUGAUCUAGAUAUCAGGAUUGGAAAAAAAAAAGAAACAGGAGUUCCCGUCAUGACUCAGCGGUUAACGAACCCAACUAGUGUCCACGAGGAUGUGGGUUCGACCCUGGCCUCACUCAGUGGGUUAAGGAUCUGGCGUUGCUGUGAGCUGUGGUGUAGGCUGUCCGCCAUAGCUCUGAUUCAUCCCCUGGCCUGGGAGCCUCCAUGUGUCAGGUGGGGGGAAAAAAAAAAAAAAACUCAGUAAGAACUGAGGUUCCCCAAAGCCAAAAGAUAACUUGUGCAUUUAAUUUCUUAAACAAAUAAAAAACUCUAAAAGCAAUGUUGUAAAUACAUACUUUUACAGAAGUAACUUUUCCAAGUAGAAAACAACAACAACAAAAAAAAACCAAGAGUCCAGAAACAGCAAGAUUAUAAUCAAUCGGAAGUGAAAACAGAGUGACUGCUUAUGGUCUGGGAUACUCAGCCAGUAGUUCCUUCAGUUCCCUUUGUUUUGGUCUGAAGCUUCAUUGAGCGUGAGUGCUCUGCCGGUGUUGUAAGUAGCAGGCCUACAGCACCCUCCAUCUGGAUAGGAAAGCAGGCGAUGUUCCUGGACUGGCUGUCUGGGCGAGGCUGGUGCCAACAGUCUUCCGAACAUACCAGGCUCUAGGCGGGAGACUGCAUGAGAGAGAAGAAGUAAAUGAAAGGCGAGAUUCAGUUUUCCUUGUGACAUCACUUUGUUGAACCUUUAGAAAUAUUCUCAAGCUGAUGCGAUCUUCCUUACAUGCAAUCCUCAGAAAUCAACUGCCAUGUGAGAAAUAUGUGCACAAGUUUUCUGUGAUUUUUUUUCCUUUUUGUCUUUUUAGGGCCACACGCACAGCAUAUGGACGUUCCCAGGCUAGGGGUUGAAUCAGAGUUGUAGCCACCAGCCUACAUCAGAGCCACAGCAAUGUGGGAUCCGAGCUGUGUCUGUGACCUACAUCACAGCUCAUGACAACGCUGGAUCCUUAACCCAUUGGGCGAGGCCAGGGAUCGAACCCGCGUCCUCAUGGAUGCUGGUCAACAACGGAGCCACAAUGGGAACUCCCUGUGAUUUUUUUUUUUGGCUGCACCCAUGACACAUGGAAGUUCCUGGGCCAGAUAUCCAGCCUAUGCCACAGCAGUGACCCGAGCUGCUGCAGUGACAGUACAGCAUCCUUAACCUGCUGCACUACAAUGGAACUCCCUCUGUGUUUUUUAAAAAAACUCAUAAAUCUAUAAAUGGUGGCAUUCAUUUCUCUAAUUUUUUUUGGGGGGGCCCACAUCCACAGCAUAUGUAAGUUCCCAGGCUAGGGGUCAAAUUGUAGCAGCAGCUGCUGGCCUAUGCCAUAGUCACAGAAAUGCCAGGUCCUAGCCACAUCCAAGAUCUAUGCCACAGUUUGUGACAAUCCCAGAUCCUCAACCCACUGAGUGAGGCCAGGGAUCAAACCCCCAUUCUCAUGGAUACUAGUUGGGUUCUUAACCCACUGAGCUACAAUGGGAACUCCGCAUAUAAUGGCUCUGGUGUGGGAUCUCAGUUCCUGGACCAGGGAUUGAACCUGGGCACAGCAGUGACAGCACUGAAUCCUAAUCCGUAGACCACCAGGGAAUUCCCUCAUUUCUUUAAUGGGAGCAUUCCUCCUAACAGGAUAAAUCCCAUAUUUAAAUUAGGGUAUUAGUCCUCAUUAGAAAGGAAAUGUUAGCAAUGAUAUCAAGUCCUAUUGCAAACGGAAACUGGCAAACUCUUGUUCUCUCACUCCCUCCCCAUAAAGUGUUUGCUUUAAAUCAUAAAGCCUGUAAGAGAUUUAUAGGAACUACAUUAAAGUAGUGGUGAUAAAAUAAAACUGCCAGUAAGAAAGUUAAGAACAGAACUGGCUUCCACUUGAAAUGCCACUUAAUGAUCUUAGGUUCCUGAAUAGUAUGAGCUAGGCAUUCAAUUCUAUCCUAGAAAUCACUGCGCAUACAUAUCAUCAGCAAGGAAGGAGAGAGAAGGGGGUGAUGAGAAAGGGGGGGAUAUUGAUUAAUGGAAAAAAAGGAGCAAGGAGCAAACUUCGCAUGAAAAUGGAAGUUUUGAAAAAUAUAUUGAAAAACAUUUUGCCCACGACAGUCCUAGAUCAUAAACACACUACAGACAUAGAGAUUGCCAGCAGGUACAUGAAAAGGUGCUCAGCAUCACUAAUUAUCAGGGAAAUGCAAAUCCAAACCACAGGGUGGUACCACCUCAUACAGGUUAGAAUGGCUAUUAUUAAAAAGAUAAGCAAUAGCAAGUGUUGGCGAGGAUGUGGAGAAGAGUGAACACCUGUGCACUGUUGGUAGGAAUGUAAAUUGAUGCAGCCAUUAUGGAAAACAGUAUGGAGGGUCCUCAAAAAAUUAAAAGGAGAACCAUCAUAGGAUCCAGCAUUUCUUCUUCUGGAUAUUUAUCAAAGAAAACAAAAACACUAACUUGAUAGCUAAACCCUCAUGUUCACUGCAGCAUGAUUUACAGUGGACAAGCUAUGGGAGAGCCUAAGUGUCCAUCAAUGGAC
rnacentral:lncRNA from 1 species